AGAACGAACGUUAGCGGCGCGCCUAACACAUGCAAGUCGAACGCGACGGGGGGCAACUCCGUUGAGUGGCGCACGGGUGAGUAACACGUAGGUAAUCUUCCCUCGAGUGGUGGAUAACCCUCCGAAAGGAGAGCUAAUACAGCAUGAGACCACGGUUUCGAAUAGGAACUGAGGUCAAAGCGGAGGAUCGCAAGACUUCGCGCUUGAGGAUGAGCCUGCGGCCCAUCAGGUAGUUGGCGGGGUAAAUGGCCCACCAAGCCUAAGACGGGUAGCUGGUCUGAGGGGAUGAUCAGCCACACUGGAACUGAGACACGGUCCAGACUCCUACGGGAGCAGCAGUGGGAAUCUUGCGACAAGUGGGCGAAAGCCUAGACGCAGGCGACGGCCGCGGUGGGUUACGAGUGAAAGGUCCUUAGGGUUACGUAAAGGCCCGUU
rnacentral:rRNA from 1 species